UACAGAGGGGGGCGAGCGUUAUUCGGAAUUAUUGGGCGUAAAGGGCGCGUAGGCGGCCUUUCAAGUGACGGGUGAAAUCCCUCGGCUUAACCGAGGAACUGCCUGUCAGACUGGAAGGCUUGAGACCGGGAGAGGUGAGUGGAAUUCCCAGUGUAGCGGUGAAAAUGCGUAGAUAUCAGGAGGAACACCAGUGGCGAAGGCGCCGCUCUGGGCCGUGACUGACGCUGAGGAGCGAAAGCGUGGGUAGCAAACAGG
rnacentral:rRNA from 1 species